UGUUUGUCUUCAGAUUUAUGACCCUGGCUAGGUACAGUGAUAUCAUAACUAUUUCCAUGUAUAGUACGCUUCUUCUUGUUUCCAUCUUCAGAAUGCAUUUUAAAUUUAUUUAAGAUAGCUCCCUGUAAAAUAAUGGUGCUGAAUGCUCCAAGUAACUGUUACACUUAAGGAUUAAACCAUAGUGAGAAUGAAACCAAGUAAUACAAAAGGAGUGUUUUACUCUUUUGCUUCUUUUCCCCUCUUCUAAUUCUAAUCCAGAGAAACAUGAGCCAUCUAGCCUGA